AAAAAGAAAGAAAGAAAGAACGAACGAACGAACGCACGCACGCAUAACUGAUGGAGUUACAUCAACAAUUGUGUGGCAGCGAUUUCAGGAUUACUACUUCUAAAGUCUCAGUGGCUUAUGCCAAAAGUAAUUGCAUUGUUUCUGUAUGUUUGUACCUAUUUGUGUGUGUGCACAUAGGCAUGUAUAGGGCACCGCCCAAUGUCAGAUGUCUUUCUCACUCACUUUCUACCUUAUAUGUAAUUUAUUUUUCUUGUUUGGUUAAGUAUUUAUUUAUUUUUAUUUCUGCAUAUGUGUGUGGGCCUCUGUGAGUGUAUGUAUAUUAUGCAGGAUUCAGGAGCAUAUGGAGGCCAGAAAUGGAUAUUGGAUCCCUUGGACCUGGAGUUUCAGGUGGUUGUGAGCUGAUGUGGGUGCUGGGAGUUGAACCGCAGUCUUCUGAAAGAAGAGCAGUACGUACUCUUAACUGCUGACCUUAUUUUUUGAGGCAAGGUCUCAUUGAGCUCACGGACUUAGUUAUUCUAGCUGUCCAGCAAGCUCCAAGAAUCCUCCUGUUUCUGUCUCCCCAGUGCUGGGAUCACAGGCACACACCACCACACCCUUGUGGCAAGCACUUUACCAAAUGAGCCGUCUCCUCGCCCCACCAAUAUUCAUUCUUUGUUCAUGAGUCAAGUGCAGUUUGGCUGCCAAGGAAGUAGGUGUUUGGGGAGGAGCCACCUAGCAAUCUUCCUGGAAGCUCCUUGCUACUCCAUAGAGCCAACACCUCAGGUGAUGUACUACAGAGGAGAAAAUGGAGAGGACAUGAAGACUCCCAUCUUAGGAGAGGACCAGGGCAGCUGGGAUGGGAGAUGUGUGUGGAGGGCUCUGGCCAGCAAUUACUUUCUCACUUGGGUGGGAGUAUUUCAGGGUUUUAAGAAUUUGAAUAGCAGUCAUCGUGUAGAUCGUCCAAAUACCCACUUUGGAGAUUAGUUCAAAAAGUAGUUAUUGGUCCUUCCCUCUUCCGGCUUCUCAGCAAUCUCUGCUUUCAUCACUAACUCGCCUCCAGCCAGGCCUUGCACAUGCUACUUUUCCUGCCUCCUCUGAUCUUCCACUUAACUCAAUGAAUUUGUUCCCCUUCUUCGUUUCACACUUGCAAAGAAAGGUUCAACAACUUAGGCAGACACCACGGUUCCCCGGAUAGUAAAGCCAGUGGUUGUUAUGAACAGUAUAGGGCCAGGUGCUCUGCUUCUAACAGCAAUGGAGGGCUGGGGAGAGUGGAAAGGAGGAAGGACUGGGAAGAGGUUAAGUUUCUAAGCUGCUACAGUUUUCAUUAAUAAUUUAAUCUGCCUUAAUACUCAUUGGUGGGUAACAGGACAGCUGGUACAUAUUAGCUUCAAUUUCCUCAUUAAAAAUCUAUUUCCUGCUAUGGAGUCCAUAGAAGUGACUUAAUUUGUGAUCUUAAUAAUUCCUCCAAACGCCUGCUCUGCCUUUUAGCCUGUUCCUCCACGGUGAGAUUGUAGGGAUUAUUCGUUUCUAUAAAGCACUCAUUUUUCUAAAGUCAGAGCUAGCCAGCCAACCAAAUUGCAAUGAAUUCCGUACCAUGAAGGAUGAAAGUCCCAUUGUCUAUUGGGCUGAGGAUGAAGCUCUGUGGUAGAGCAUUUGGCUAGCAUGCACGAGGCUCUACAUUUGGUCCUCUGAAAUGAAAAAGAAAAAAGUCAAAUCUACCUUUUAGUGUUGUUAUGAGGAUCAAAUGAGGUGUUGCCUAAAAAUGUUUUGUGAAUUGAAAAAGUAAGGAGUUAUUCGCCUACAGGAUGAGAUGUGCCUCUUGUUUUGAAUAGCCAUUGCUGUUCUAUUAAAGUGAAACCAAUUCUUUGGUAAAGUCACACACAUUCUCCCACUGACAAGUAAGGCUGGAAAUUCUGAGAUCAAAGUAAGUCAUCAAGAAAAAGGAAAAGACAGAGGAUGCUGGGAAUAAAUGUGGAACCAUUAUGU
rnacentral:lncRNA from 1 species